rnacentral:SRP_RNA from 1 species
UCAUACCAGUCGGGGCGGUAGCGGUGCCUUGUACCUGAAAUCCGCUAUAGCAGGGAUUCAUUCCUCCUUCGAGGGUUGCUCUUGUGUAGUCUGCACCGUCUUUUUCUGUGAUGAAGGAUGGGUCUUGCGCAAUGCGAGGCCGUGAACCAUGUCAGGUGGGGAACCAAGCAGCAUUAAGCGGUUUACCGUGUGUGCCGCAGGGGUGCCUGUCCGGAGCAGAAGGGGCGGUUACCGUGCGUAAGGGUAUAUUCGACAAGGGGGUGUAUGG